GUGCCUGUGGGAUGAAAAUGUCCCUGACACGUUCAACCAUUUAUUUACUUUGUCAGUUGAUAUUUUGUUUUCAGCUGAUCAUGAAGGAUGGGAAAUUU
rfam:Zea mays cultivar B73 chromosome 5, whole genome shotgun sequence.